UAAGCCAUGCAUGCCUCCGAAUAGAAGAGCAAUCUCUCUGAAUCUGCGAACGGCUCCGCAAACCAGUUGUAAACCAUAGCAAGCAUGCCCCAGGAAAGCCGCAAGGCCGCCCUGGGGCUACAAGGAUAACCCCGGUAAUUCUGAGGCUAAUACAUGAACGUACCCCCUGGUCGAUGGGCAACCUGAAGCCGGGGACCGUGCGAGACCUCGCAAAAAAAUAUCGGAAAAGUCGCACAGUAAGACCGUCAUACCAAACAGUCCUUCUUUGCCGUCCUCACGGGCGGUAGGGUCGGUCUGGGCGGCUCUUGCAAGGUGCUUCUGACCUAUCAACUAGAUGGCAGCGUAAGGGACAUGCUAUGGUGACAACGGGUACAGAGGAUAAGGGUUCGAUCCUGGAGAGUGGGCCUGAGAGAUUGCUCACACUUCUAAGGAAGGCAGCAGGCGCGCAACGUUCCCCUUGGGCAAUGCCCGAGGGCGUUAGGGGACAUAUGAAUGCCUGCCAUUUGGUGGGCAAUUCAAAUGGGUCUGUUCUAAACAGCCUCUCGAGUAACAAU
rnacentral:rRNA from 1 species